GACGAACGCUGGCGGCGUGCUUAAUACAUGCAAGUCGAACGGAAAGGCUCUACUUUUGCUUGGUGCUCGAUUGGCUAACGGUUGCGUAACACUUGAUUAACCUUCCCUUACCUUUGUGGUAACUUCAGGUAACUGUUGCUAAUACUAGCUAGUAGCUCCUGCUGUUUGUUGUUGGUUGGAAAUUUUCGGCGGUUGGGGAUGGACUCGCGGCUUAUCAGCUUGUUGGUGGGGUAGUUGAUUACCAAGGUUUCGACGGGUAGCCGGCCUGAGAGGGAGACCGGCCACAUAGGGACUGAGAAACGGCCCAGACUGAUACGGGAGGAAGCAGUGGGGAAUAUUGCAAAAUGGGCGGAAGCAUGAUGCAGCAACGCCGGGUGCGGGAUGACGGCCUUAGGGUUGGAAACCGCUUGAGACUGUGAAGAAGCGUGAGUGACGGUAAUGGGUAAAGAAGCAACGGCUAACUACGUG
rnacentral:rRNA from 1 species